UACGUAGGUGGCAAGCGUUAUCCGGAUUUACUGGGUGUAAAGGGCGUGUAGGCGGGGACGCAAGUCAGAUGUGAAAACCACGGGCUCAACCUGUGGCUUGCAUUUGAAACUGUGUUUCUUGAGAACUGGAGAGGCAGACGGAAUUCCUAGUGUAGCGGUGAAAUGCGUAGAUAUUAGGAGGAACACCAGUGGCGAAGGCGGUCUGCUGGACAGCAACUGACGCUGAGGCGCGAAAGCGUGGGGAGCAAACAGG
rnacentral:rRNA from 1 species